CCACUACGACAGGGGAGCGCCGGGCCCCGCCAUCGACGGCGGGGGCGGGCGCUGAGAGUGCGGGUAACCGCAGACCCUCGAACCUGCUCCGGCUCGCACCGGCGAAGGAAGUCGAGUUCUCCCCGCG
rnacentral:ncRNA from 1 species